CUGAGUAAUUGAGGUCUUUAUGGCCUCAUAACUCCCACCCUUUGUGUACCUUACCAAAAUCUUCAGUUGCCUUGGUAGGAACCUUUUCAUUCGGAAAGGCCUACCAGGGGGACUCCCUUAAAACUCUUUUGAAUUGAGUCGUCUGAGAACAAAUUUUAAAUAAAAUUA
rnacentral:misc_RNA from 1 species